GGGGAUUUAGCUCAGUGGAAGAGCGCUUGCCUAGGAAGCGCAAGGCCCUGGGUUCAGUCCCCA
rfam:Rattus norvegicus chromosome 4, whole genome shotgun sequence.